GAAGAAGAAAAGAAAAAAAGAAAAAAGAAAUGGGAGGAGCUGAAAUAAUGGUUGCUGGAUCAUGUGUGUUUGAUGGGAUGAGCAUAUCAAUGGAAGAUUUUUUGAUCGAGAGAAGGCCUUAUCAUCGCAACUGUGGCUGCAAAUUACACAUCAAAAAUGGCUCUUGCCCACAUCCUCCUUUCAAAACUUCUUCUCUUUCGUUUAUGAGAAACCAAAAAUGGACCAAAACUACUUCUCUUCACAUUCAAUCUGCCUCCAAAUUCUCCUCCCUUCCUUCUCCACUUCGACGCCCCGAACCAGAUAUUAUUACUGACGAGCUCAUGUGACAAGUGAUCUCUAGAGAGAGAGUUUACGCUCUCUAAUCAUAUAUAUGUGGGAGUGGAACUCUUCACGAGGAAAGGUUUUUUUUUCUCUCUUUGAAAAAGAAUGAGUUGUGUAGUUUGAUUGCCUAUAAUUUAAAUGAAAUAAACUAUAGUGGGUUCGUGUA